AAGGGAUACUUCUGAGCAUCUGACCGUACCCUAGGAAGUUUCACCUCCAUGGAUUGAUUGCUGUUUAGGGGGUCCACAGGAGUUCCCACCUGUUCUGUGCAUCAGAGAGGAAGGUGGCUCCCCAUUCACAACGGGGCCUUUCUUUUACUGUGUGCUUCUGUUUCUUUUACUGUGUGUUUCUGUGCACCAAUUUGUUAUGCACAUCAAUUUGUUACUGUGUGCUUAUAUGCAUCAAUUUGUUACUGUGUGCUUUAUGUGCGCCAAUUUGUUUUCUUUUCACAACGAUUUUAUUAUCCCCCCCAUUUUUAUAAAUUGAGGCAGCGAGGAAAGAAAGGUGGUUGGGGUUGCCUUAGCCUACAGCUAGGAAGUGGUAGCCAUAGGAUUUGAACUACUGGCCUGUGCUUGGCCCUUCUGCUUCAUGUUACAAAGCUUGUGGUGUGGCCAGAUUCCUGAUGUCCCUGUCCCAAGCAGAGUCUCAGAUCCCUGGAGCAGCAGACCUCCACCCUGGGACAGUAGGGACUUGGAGGCACAGGGAGAAAGAGUCGCUUCUUCCAUGCCCCUCCUCCUCCUGAGAGGAUUCCAGCUACUUUUUCCCCAGUGGAAGAAGCUGGACAGAGAAUCUUUCACAAGACCAAGUCUCACCCUGCUCCCGAGGAGGGGGCGUCUAGCAGGAGUGGGUGCUGACCCAGGACGCUCUGCUUCCUCUCAGCAUAUCCUUGAGAGAAAAGCAGGGUUCAACUUCAGUUAGCAUCUGUCAGGGGGAUGGCCCUGGCAGAGAAACUGAGAUUCCAGCACUCUCAAAAAUGAGCCCUGGGCCAAACUAGGGUCCCCUGGCCUCCCAGUGGCCCAAGGGAACUUCAGCAGGAAAGCUAUGCCUGCUCACUCCCCAGAGCCAGGGAAAACCUCUGGUGCCACCUUCUGGGCCUGGAAGUGUAGGGAGGGGCACUGGGGUGUGGGAAGGGAUAGCCUCCAGGAAAGAAAACACAUUUUCAUUUUAGCCCUCUGCUGAAGACCAGGGAAGCUGGGCUCACCCGGAUUUCCCCUCACUGGGGGUCUGGGGGGCCUCUUCUUCAGGGAAUGGAAGCAGCCGACUGGACCGGGAUUGCAGUGUGUGUGAGGCUGGUGGAGGGAGUGGGAGGCGGCGAGCUUCGGCAGCUGGCAUUCUUUGGGGGCAGCCUCAGCUGGCACCUCGGGGGGCACCAGGCAGUGGCCAGAGCAGGGGGUCUCCAGGUGCCGGCGGCUGAGGCGCCCCUCCCCCCUCCAUGGGUUGCCGCUUGCGCUCUUCUCACCACAUCUCAGCUUCCACCUGGGGGCGCCAGAGAGCAUAGAUACUACUGUACUCGUUUCUGCCACCAGAGGGCAACCUCGGCACACCGAUUUCUGCUUCUCCGGAGAUCCGUGGAAACCAAGCUGGGAGGGAAAGAAACCAGGUCCAAAAAAACGGAACUGGAACGAAGCCCAGUGUACGCUAGUGAUCUUCCACUCGCGGGUUUUAAACUUGUCGAAGACAGCGGUAAAACCGGACUCCUUUAACCUCAACACUGUGAGUUCGAAGUCAGCGUGGGCUUUUAUAGCAAGUUCCAGGCCUGCCAAGGUUAUACAGUGGAUGUGUCCAAAAGAAUGAAGUCUUCAGUGCUGGGGACGUAGCUUAGUGCUAAUCUCCUGGACAAGGACUGGGAUUCGAGCUUCCUAACACCCUACGCCCAAGGGAAAGGGGGGUGAUCUCUGGAGGCUAAGGUUAUCUGUGGGUUGGUUUGUUGGUUUGUUUGUAGCCCAGGUUACUCUGCAACUCAUGGUUCAACCUCACGACGGCUAGGAUUUCAAAUAUGAGUCACCAUGCUAGCUAGAACUGUCUUUUAUUUGAACUAGGCUCCGGGAAAAAGCUGCUGAAGCCCUCUGAAGCCUCAGUUGUCCCAUCUAUAAAAUGGGACUAUCCUAGAAGAUUAAAUGAGAAACUGCACCUACAGGGCCUAACUCUGUCCAGGAAAGUAAACGCUCCAAAUAGGAGUGUAAAAACAAAACAAAACAAAACAAAAAAAAACAACAAAAGACAAACUCAAUAACAAACUUGUUAGUGUCUACAGCUUAUGUUUGUUUAUUCACUCACUCCUUAGUUCAUCUCCCCCACAGUACCUCAGAGUCCAACGGAAAGAUACAUGGUGUGGAGGAUACAUGUUAAAACCGUGUGCCAUUAAAAUCGUGUUCUAAGAGCUUUGAUUCUAGAUUAGAGAGAUAGCUCGGAGAGGUUAAGAGCACUGUCUGCUACUUCAGAGGUUCAAGUCCCAGCACCCAAAUGGUGGCUCACAAUUGUCUGUAAUGCCAUCCAGGGGAUGUGGCACCCUUGUCUAGCCUCUGCUGACAUUGAAUUGACAUGAUGCACACACACACACACACACACACACACACACACACAUACACACACGAAGUUAAGAGCACUUGGUGUUUGAUUCCCAGCACCCACGUGCCAGCCUACAACGUCUGCAACCCUGGGGUAUCCGUUGACCUCCUCUAGCAUGGCAUGCAGGUGGUUCCCAAGCAGGCAAAACACACAUACACAUAGCAAACCUUUAAAACAGAGCCUUGAUUCACAUUGAACCAGUACAGAGGGAGAUUGGGCCAGGCAGAGCAAGCGACCUUUCCUCCCCAGUGUGGUGGUAGAGACAGUCACAUGCUUAUAAUACAGACUUUUCAGCUGGACAUGGUGGCUCACGACAAAACCCAGCCCUCAGGAGGCAGAGGGCAAGAGAAUCUCCAGGAGUUCGAGGCCAGCCUGAUCUACAUAGUGAGUUUCCAGCCAACCAAGGCUAUACAGUGAGACCCUGUCUCAAAAUAAUAACCAGGGCUAGAGAGAUGCCUCAGAAGUUUAAAACACUUGCUGUUUAUGAGUCGACCAUGGUGGCUCAUGGAUAAAUCCCAGUACUCAGGAGGCAGAGGCAGGCAGAGCUCUGUGAGUUCAAGGCCAGCUUGGUUUACAGAGCGAGUUCCAGGACGAUCAAGGCUACACAGAGAAACCCUGUCUUGAAACCAAACCAAACUGCCACCAACAAAAAACCCACUUGCUGUUCGUGCAGAGAACCAGGAUUUGGUUCCCAGCACCCAGAUGCCAGCUUACAACUCCAUCUCCAGGGGUUCAGUCCCCCUCUUGUGGCUCUGCAUGUCAGUGAUGUACAAGCAAGCAAACACUUAUACACAGAAUUAAAAGUAAACAGAUUGGGCUGGCAAGAUGGCUCAGUGGGUAAGAGUACUGACUGCUCUUCCAAAGGUCCUGAGUUCAAAUCCCAGCAACCACACGGUGGCUCACAACCACCCAAAAUGAGAUCUGAUGCCCUCUUCUGGUGUGUCAGAAGACAGCUACAGUGUACUUAUGUAUAAUAAUAAAUAAAUCUUUGGGCCUGAGCUAGUUGGAACGAGCAGGGUUGGCUAGAGUGAGCAGAGAUCCUAAAAAUUCAAUUCCCAACAACCACUUGAAGGCUCACAACCAUCUGUACAGCUACAGUGUACUCACAUACAUAAAAUAAAUAAAUAAAUAAUAAAGAUAAACAAAUCUUUAAACACAGUUCAAAACUCCAUUACAACAUACGCUCAGCGCUGUUACGUUGUGUUUGUAAAGUGUUUUCUUUUAAGCGCAUAGAUUCUGAUAGGAUUAUAUUGAAUGGUGAAAAGAUGCUAGUAGAUGAAUAAGCCUCAGACGACUGUUUUCCACUGUAUUGGCCGAGAAUGCCCUUGCCCUCUUUUUUUUUUUUUUUCUUUGAAUUGUUCUCUCUACUCCCUUUCCCAAUCGCAGGCAAAGAUGGCCCUGUGCACCCAGCUAGUUUUCCCCAGCUUCUCUAAGGCUGCUCCCCAAGACUUCCUGGGGCCUUCCUUUCAGCUGCCACAUGCCGCUCCUUCCAGUUCCAGCUCUGCUGGGGGUGGGGUGGGGUGCGUGGGUGCCAAGGUCACCUGCUUGAUGCCUAACUGCAGACCCACAUUGCCAGCCAGCGGUGCUGCAGCCCGAACCCUGGCCGAUUCCGCCACCUGCUGGCCGUUCCCAAAACUUCAUCUCUUAAAGCGGUGGAGGAAGACUAAACGCUUGAAGACUACCUGAAAUCCCGAAUUGCACUGGGGCUUAAAAUUUGAUCCUGUUGAAUCAUCACAACCACUGUACAGGGUGGGCUUUGAAAUAUACAGGAGCGAGGAGACACAAAGAAACUGUCUAAGUUCACUCGGGACGCUCCGGACCAUCCGGGGCUGACAGACUCUUCGCCCCACCUCCCCACCCCCUCCACCCCCGCCCCCGUGUGAAUUUAUAUGCUUGGGUUGAGGAAGGGAAAAGACCCGAUUGUACUUUUUCACCUCCUCAAAGGAGGGCAAAGGCCUCACAGCACCUUCCCAGAGUUGUCUUCCAGAGAAGGAACAUGUAGUGGCUCUUGCUUGAAGAAGAAGAAGAAGAAAAAGAGGAGGAGGAGGAGGAGGAGGAGGAGGAGGAGGAAGAGGAAGAGGAAGAGGAAGAGGAAGAGGAAGAGGAAGAGGAAGAAGAAGAAGAAGAAGAAGAAGAAGAAGAAGAAGAAGAAGAAGAAGAAGAAAGUAAAUAUCAGAAAACCUCAAGGCAGUGUGCUCAGACCCGAGGAGGGACCGGUCGGUCACACCACUAUACAACCUUGUCAGUCUGAGCGAGCAGGAAUUAAGUCAAAUGAGGUCUUGAAAUUGUUCUUUGGACUUAGCUGCCUGUUCUUCUAACUCAAGCAUAAUAACCCAGGAGUGGUAUAUUAUUUUUACAUCUCAUUUGCAUAUGAUUAAUUCCAAGUCGAAGUGAAUGGGAGUCACGCUGGCUUCUCAGCCCUCCCACCUGUUUGUCCAGUCCCCCAACCACCACCACACCUCUUGCUAGGCUCUGCCACCCCCAUCAGCCUCUACCCACUCCUUGCCCCUGGCCCUCCCUCCCCAGUUCCCUGUUCCUUUCCUCUCUGUCACCCACGCAGCCUCCGCCACCUGGCCGCCCACCGCAAAAACUUUUCCCCAAGUUCCUGAGAAGUCGCGUAGGAUCCAGGAGAGAAAAAUCAAAGUAAUAAAACCUCAUUUAAUUCCUAA